UACGUAGGAGACGAGCGUUGUCCGGAGUUACUGGGCGUAAAGGGUGCGCAGGUGGCGGCGCGCGUGGGGGGUGAAAUCGCCCGGCUUAACUGGGCGGGGGCCUUCCAGACGGCGUGGCUUGAGCAGCGGAGGGGGACGUGGAAUUCCGGGUGGAGCGGUGAAAUGCGUAGAUAUCGGGAGGAACACCAGUGGCGAAGGCGGUUACCUGGGGCUUUGCUGACGCUGAUGCGCGAAAGCGUGGGGAGCGAUCCGG
rnacentral:rRNA from 1 species